rnacentral:rRNA from 1 species
AGGGUAGCAAUACCGCUGACGACCGGCGCACGGGUGAGUAACACGUAUCCAACCUACCAUCCCCUCGGGGAUAGCCUUUCGAAAGAAAGAUUAAUACCCGAUACUAUAGCGAGAGGGCAUCCUUUUGCUAUUAAAGAAUUUCGGUGUUUGAUGGGGAUGCGUUCCAUUAGAUUGUUGGUGAGGUAACGGCUCACCAAGUCUUCGAUGGAUAGGGGUUCUGAGAGGAAGGUCCCCCACAUUGGAACUGAGACACGGUCCAAACUCCUACGGGAGGCAGCAGUGAGGAAUAUUGGUCAAUGGACGAGAGUCUGAACCAGCCAAGUAGCGUGAAGGAUGAAGGCCCUAUGGGUCGUAAACUUCUUUUAUAGGGGAAUAAAGUUCGGAACGUGUUCCGUUUUGUAUGUACCCUACGAAUAAGGAUCGGCUAACUCCGUGCCAGCAGCCGCGGUAAUACGGAGGAUCCGAGCGUUAUCCGGAUUUAUUGGGUUUAAAGGGAGCGUAGGUGGACGUAUAAGUCAGUUGUGAAAGUUUGCGGCUCAACCGUAAAAUUGCAGUUGAUACUGUAUGUCUUGAGUGUACAAGAGGUGGGCGGAAUUCGUGGUGUAGCGGUGAAAUGCUUAGAUAUCACGAAGAACUCCGAUUG